rnacentral:rRNA from 1 species
UACGUAGGGGGCAAGCGUUAUUCGGAAUUAUUGGGCGUAAAGGGCGCGUAGGCGGCUUGGCAAGUGGAAGGUGAAAUCCCUCGGCUUAACCGAGGAACUGCCUUCCAGACUGCUUUGCUUGAGGCCGGGAGAGGCGAGUGGAAUUCCCAGUGUAGCGGUGAAAUGCGUAGAUAUUGGGAGGAACACCAGUGGCGAAGGCGGCUCGCUGGACCGGUUCUGACGCUGAGGCGCGAAAGCGUGGGGAGCAAACGGGG